UAAGUGGUAUUGAUUGUGGGGAAAUCUCCAUAGUUAAGCGCGCUUGAGCCAGAGGUGUAUUGGGAUGGGUGACCACCUGGGAAGUCCUGGUUACCGGGUGC
rnacentral:rRNA from 1 species